AGUUCGAUCCUGGCUCAGAUUGAACGCUGGCGGGAUGCUUUACACAUGCAAGUCGAACGGCAGCACGGACUUCGGUCUGGUGGCGAGUGGCGAACGGUGAGUAAUGUAUCGGAACGUGCCUAGUAGCGGGGAUAACUACGCGAAAGCGUAGCUACGCAUACGCCCUUCGGGGGGAAAGCGGGGACCUUCGGGCCUCGCACUAUUAGAGCGGCCGAUAUCGGAUUAGCUAGUUGGUGGGGUAACGGCUCACCAAGGCGACGAUCCGUAGCUGGUUUGAGAGGACGACCAGCCACACUGGGACUGAGACACGGCCCAGACUCCUACGGGAGGCAGCAGUGGGGAAUUUUGGACAAUGGGGGAAACCUGAUCCAGCCAUCCCGGCGUGUGCGAUGAAGGCCUUCGGGUUGUAAAGCACUUUUGGCAGGAAAGAAACGGCACGGGAUAAUACCCGCAACUUUGACGGUACCUGCAGAAUAAGCACCGGCUACUACGUGCCAGCAGCCGCGGUAAUACGUAGGGUGCAAGGUUAAUCGGAAUUACUGGGCGUAAAGCGUGCGCAGGCGGUUCGGAAAGAAAGAUGUGAAAUCCCCAGAGCUUAACUUUGAACUGCAUUUUUAACUACCGAGCUAGAGUGUGUCAGAGGAGGAAUUCGCGUGUAGCAGUGAAAUGCGUAGAUAUGCGGAUAUUGAUGGCGAAGGCAGCCUCCUGGGAUAACACUAUCGCUCAUGCACGAAAGCGUGGGGAGCAAACAGGAUUAGAUACCCCGGUAGUCCACGCCCUAAACGAUGUCAACUAGCUGUUGGGGCCUUCGGGCCUUGGUAGCGCAGCUAACGCGUGAAGUUGACCGCCUGGGGAGUACGGUCGCAAGAUUAAACUCAAAGGAAUUAAUGGGACUCCGCACAAGCGGUGGAUAUGGAUUAAUUCGAUGCAACGCGAAAACCUUACCUACCCUUGACAUGUCUGAAUCCCGAAGGGAUUUGGGAGUGCUCGCAAGAGAACCGGAACACAGGUGCUGCAUGGCUGUCGUCAGCUCGUGUCGUGAGAUGCUGGGUUAAGUCCCGCAACGAGCGCAACCUCUUGUCAUUAGUUGGCGUUACGAAAGGGCACUCUAAUGAGACUGCCGGUGACAAACCGGAGGAAGGUGGGGAUGACGUCAAGUCCUCAUGGCCCUUAUGGGUAGGGCUUCACACGUCAUACAAUGGUCGGGACAGAGGGUCGCCAACCCGCGAGGGGGAGCUAAUCCCAGAAACCCGAUCAGUCCGGACUGCAGUCUGCAACUCGACUGCGUGAAGUCGGAAUCGCUAGUAAUCGCGGAUCAGUGUUAUGCGGUGAAUACGUUCGGUCUUGUACACACCGCCCGUCACACCAUGGGAGUGGGUUUUACCAGAAGUAGUUAGCCUAACCGUAAGGAGGGCGAUUACCACGGUAGGAUUCAUGACUGGGGUGAAGUCGUAACAAGGUAG
rnacentral:rRNA from 1 species